rnacentral:rRNA from 1 species
GACGAACGCUGGCGGCGUGCUUAACACAUGCAAGUCGAACGGAAAGGCCCUGCUUUUGUGGGGUGCUCGAGUGGCGAACGGGUGAGUAACACGUGAGUAACCUGCCCUUGACUUUGGGAUAACUUCAGGAAACUGGGGCUAAUACCGGAUAGGAGCUCCUGCUGCAUGGUGGGGGUUGGAAAGUUUCGGCGGUUGGGGAUGGACUCGCGGCUUAUCAGCUUGUUGGUGGGGUAGUGGCUUACCAAGGCUUUGACGGGUAGCCGGCCUGAGAGGGUGACCGGGCACAUUGGGACUGAGAUACGGCCCAGAAUCCUACGGGAGGCAGCAGUGGGGAAUAUUGCACAAUGGGCGGAAGCCUGAUGCAGCAACGCUGCGUGCGGGAUGACGGCCUUCGGGUUGUAAACAGAUUUCGCAUGUGACGAAGCGUGAGUGACGGUAAUGGGUAAAGAAGCACCGGCUAACUACGUG